rnacentral:rRNA from 1 species
UCCAGUAGCGGGGGAUAACCUGUCGACAGAUAGGCUAAUACCGCAUACGCCCCACGGGGGAAAGCGGAGGACCGCAAGGCUUCGCACUAUCGGAGUGGCCGAUGUCGGAUUAGCUAGUUGGCGGGGUAACGGCCCACCAAGGCGACGAUCCGUAGCUGGUCUGAGAGGACGAUCAGCCACACUGGAACUGAGACACGGUCCAGACUCCUACGGGAGGCAGCAGUGGGGAAUUUUGGACAAUGGGCGCAAGCCUGAUCCAGCCAUGCCGCGUGAGUGAAGAAGGCCUUCGGGUUGUAAAGCUCUUUCGGUGGGGACGAAAAGGUUCGUGCUAAUACCACGGACUAAUGACGGUACCCGAAGAAGAAGCACCGGCUAACUACGUGCCAGCAGCCGCGGUAAUACGUAGGGUGCAGGCGUUAAUCGGAAUUACUGGGCGUAAAGCGUGCGCAGGCGGUUUGUUAAGACAGAUGUGAAAUCCCCGGGCUUAACCUGGGAACUGCGUUUGUAACUGGCAAGCUAGAGUGUGGCAGAGGGGGGUGGAAUUCCAAGUGUAGCAGUGAAAUGCGUAGAUAUUUGGAGGAACACCGAUGGCGAAGGCAGCCCCCUGGGCUAACACUGACGCUCAUGCACGAAAGCGUGGGGAGCAAACAGGAUUAGAUACCCUGGUAGUCC